CUCAGUAGCGGCGAGCGAAACGGGAAAAGCCCAGGAUGAAAACCAAAGCAUUUGUUUUUGCUUUGGGUUGUAUCCGGUCAACCCUCGGUUGCGGAGAUAUGGGUAAAGUUACCUGGAAAGGUGCACCGCGGAGGGUGAAAGUCCCGUCCAUCCCAUGUGUUCGCGCCGGUUACGGGGACUGACUCAGGCGAGUCGGGUUGCUUGGGAAUGCAGCCCUAAUAGGUGGUAAACCGCAUCUAAGGCUAAAUAAUAGUGGGAGACCGAUAGCAAACAAGUACCGUGAGGGAAAGAUGGAAAGAACUCUGAAAAGAGAGUGCCAAGGACUUGAAACCGUCACGGGGGAAGCGAAUUGCGGAAGGAUGUCUGGGAAGGUGUGUUCAGCAGAACGGCCCUACUUUUUAAAAGUUGGCUGGCCUGUGCACUCACGCCAUCCCAGGGCCGAUGUGGCUGGGGGGUGAAAAAUUUUAGGGGGAUAUUUAUUUUAUUUUAAAUUUUCCUCUCUUUUUUUUUGCGUGGUGAUUCCACACUACGCCCCUGGUGAGGGUAUCCACUUUUAAGGUGUUGAGGACAUCGGCGUUUCAAAGCGCAAUACGACCCGUCUUGAAACACGGACCAAGGAGUCUAGCGGAGCAGCGAGUCGAAGACUGAAUGAAAGUCAUGGGCGCAGUGAAAGCAAAUGUUUCAAAUUGAUCAAAUUGAGGAGGCGUGGCGCUUUUAGCAAAAUGACCUACCUUGAGCUGCUGCGCUGGGACCCGAAAGAUGGUGAACUAUGCCGGAGUAGGGCAAAGCCAGAGGAAACUCUGGUGGAGGCUCGUAGCGGUGCUGACGUGCAAAUCGCUCGUCGAACUCGGGUAUAGGGGCGAAAGACUAAUCGAACCAUCUAGUAGCUGGUUCCCUCCGAAGUUUCUCUCAGGAUAGCGGGCUGGAAAAAAAAAAAAAGGUGUUGUUUCUGUGCGGUAAAGCGAAUGAUUAGCGCAUUUGGGAACCAAAGGUUCUCUGGCGAUUCUCAAACUUUAAAUGCGCGAGAGCCGUCUGGUUGCUUUACGGAACCAGUUGCGGGCAGAAAACGCCAGCCUUGUGGGCCACUUUUGGUAAGCAGAACUGGCGAUAAGGGAUGAACCUUAAGCACGGUUAAGGCGCCAAACUACGCGCUUAUAGACCCCACAAAAGGUGUUGAUUCAUUUAGACAGCAGGACGGUGGCCAUGGAAGUCGGAAUCCGCUAAGGAGUGUGUAACAACUCACCUGCCGAAUGCAUUAGCCCUGAAAAUGGAUGGCGCUCAAGCGCGUGGCCGACACCGUGCCGUUGGAUUUACUGAUGAAUCCAAUGAGUAGGAGGGCGCGGGGGUGCUGGGGAAGUGCGCGCGCAAGCGUGGAUGGAAGCGCCUCUGGUGCAGAUCUUGGUGGUAUAGCAAAUAUUCAAGCGAGAUCCUUGAAGGGCGAAGUGGGGAAGGGUUCCACGCGAACAUUGAUUGGACGUGGGUGAGUCGUUCCUAAGCGAGGCGGCAAUCGCGCCGGCACACGCGAAAGGGAAGCCAGUUAAAAUUCUGGCGCACGGGCACGGACAUAGUGGUGACACGCUUAUCUUUUUUUGCAUGAUGGGUGGGGGCGAGCACGCUGGCGAGCGCCUCGGGCAGAGUUGUCUUUUCUGUUUAAAUUUCUUUAGUGGCUGGUGUGGAAGAACGUUGCGUUGAGAAACACAGCCCAGGAUGAAGAGCGCUGCGAUUUGUGCAGCGUCCGGAGCGCGCUCGACGGCCCUUGAAACCUUGCUCUCCCAAUUGUCUUUUGGGCUUCUCUCUUUUUUUUUCUCCUCUUUUUCUUUUUGAAGGGAGGUGGGGGGAAACGAGGAGGUCCGAAGGGGCUGAGAGUCCGUGGCGUGACGUACCGAUAACCGCAUCAGGUCCCCAGGUCUCAAACACUCUGCUCAGUAUGAAUAAUGCAGGUAAGGGAAUUCGGCAAAAUAGACCCGUAACUUUGGGAAAAGGGUUGGCUCUAGUGGCGCGUGUGGGAAACGGUUGUUGCUUCUGGCCGUGUUGGGGGCACGGGAAGCGGGCGGAUGGGGGGGGACUUUCCAUUUUUGUAGGGGGUUUCCUUCUGAUGUCUGUAUCCUGAGCCCGCGGACGGUUAGUGCUUCAAUCUACCUGCACGCUUGCGCCGAACUAGAACUGUAACGGGCAAAGGGAAUCCGACUGUUUAAUUAAAACAAAGCGUUGCGAUGGCCGGGGAACGGUGAUGACGCAACGUGAUUUCUGCUCAGUGCUCUGAAUGUCAAAGUGAAGAGGUUCAACGAAGCGCGGGUAAACAGCGGGAGUAACUAUGACUCUCUUAAGGUAGCCAAAUGCCUUGUCAUCUAAUUAGUGACGCGCAUGAAUGGAUUAACGAGAUUCCUACUGUCCCUAUCUGCUUCUAGCGAAACCACAGCCGCGGGAACGGGCGCGGCAGACUCUGCGGGGAAAGAAGACCCUGUUGAGCUUGACUCUAUUCUACAACUGUUGGACGAGUUUUGAGGUGUAGAUAUAGGUGGGAGCUUUCGGGCGACUGUGAAAUACCACUACUCUUAAUCUCGUUUUACUUAACGCGUGACAUGGGGGAACCUGGCGACAGGUCUUGUAGCAACAACACCCGAAAACUUUUUUUUUAAAAAGGCUUUUUUGGGUGGACCCACGCGCGUAACACUUCUAGGAGGGGAGUUUGGCUGGGGCGGCACAUCUUCUACAAGACAACGAAGGUGUCCCAAGAUAAGCUCAGUGAGAACAGAAAUCUCACGUAGCGCGAAAGGGUAAAAGCUUGUUUGAACUGCGUAGUGAAUGGCUGCGCAGAAUGCGAAAGCACGGCCUAUCGAUCCUUUCGAAAUAAUUCGCGGUUUGAAGCGAGAGGUGUCAGAAAAGUUACCACAGGGAUAACUGGCUUGUGGCGGCCAAGAGCUCAAAUCGACGCCGCUUUUUGAUCCU
rnacentral:rRNA from 1 species